AUGUUCAACUUAUUGGCUGACUUUAAACUUUUGGAUAAUUAUUGCUCUGUUAAUUUUCAACCCCUAACUUAUCUUAUCUGCCUUUUUUCCCCUCUCCUCUUUGCCAAAAUCCUCUUCCUCAUCAACAAAUGAUGCUUUGAAGGCAUUCCUAUUGAGGUCAGCUUCCAGCAACUCCUCCUUGUCUGCCUCUGGGAAGGCUUCUGACCAACCCAAGCGAACACUAGUAUCAAGUGCUGAGAUGGAAGCUAUACUGUUGGGUGGCUGCAUUUAAUCUCACUGAGUCAAUGGCUAUUUCUCACAAUAACAUUUUGGUGAAAAAAUUGGUAGAUUGGAUUUCUUAUAAGAUAUUGUUGCUGCUGUUUCAACCUCAGUAAAGAUUAAAGAAGAGGCAGCAUAGAUCACAAAUCUGGCAACUAUCUGGUUUAUAUCCCUCUUCUUAUCCAUCUUUUCAACGGGUAUAUUGGAGAUGAGGUGGAGUGGUGUGGGCAUAGACGAAUGGUGGAGAAACGAGCAAUUCUGGGUGAUCGGUGGUGUUUCUGCCCCUUUGUUUUGCAGUGUGUCAAGGUCUGCUAUCUAGCAGGUAUCGACGCCAAUUUCACAGUGACCUCCAAGGCCUCAAAUGAAGACGGUGAUUAUAAGAGCUAUACAUGUUUAAGUAAACAACCCUGCUUAUCCCACCCACAACCCUUCUGAUCAUAAACUUGGUAGGAGUAGUUGUAGGCAUCUCAAACGCAAUUGACAGCGGGUUUCAGUCAUGGGGUCCGUUGUUUGGGAAGCUUUUCUUUGCAUUGUGGGUGAUUCUACACCUUUAUCGAUUGCUGUUUGUUAUUUCUCUUGAUUGCUGCUGUUUGUGCUCCAUUGUUUACUAAAUUUUGAAAUCAAUAGCGUUUUGGACUUCUCAAUAGGUAAGUUUAUAAUUAGCAUACAAAAUUGGAUUUGGUGUAUAUAUUGUGUUUGAUAAUAUG